GACCUGGUGGCUCAGUGGGUAAAGCAUCUGCCUGCCAUGCGGGAAACCGGGGUUCAAUCCCCAGGUCG
rfam:Ovis aries breed Texel chromosome 14, whole genome shotgun sequence.